rnacentral:rRNA from 1 species
UACGGAGGGGGUUAGCGUUGUUCGGAAUGACUGGGCGUAAAGCGCGCGUAGGCGGAUCAGGAAGUUGGGGGUGAAAUCCCGGGGCUCAACCCCGGAAUGGCCUUCAAAACUCCUGGUCUUGAGUUCGAGAGAGGUGAGUGGAAUUCCGAGUGUAGAGGUGAAAUUCGCAGAUAUUCGGAGGAACACCAGUGGCGAAGGCGGCUCACUGGCUCGACACUGACGCUGAGGUGCGAAAGCGUGGGGAGCAAACAGG